AUUAAAUUUUGUGAUUUGAAAUGCCGAUUACCACAUUUGUUCUCUUAUAAUUUUUUUUUCAAUUUUUACAGAACAAGUUGUAGCCUUUUUUUCCUGAUAUGGAAGAGCGAUGACGUUAAUUUAGGUGCAUAAUGUGAUAAACCAUAAUUCAGGUUUAUUUUUGUAAGAGAGAAGAGAAAGCAUGUAAUGGCAGCUAAAAUGCAACUAUUUGCUACUAAGUUCGAUGAGAGAACAAGUUGUGGUCUUAUUUUUCAUGAUAGGGAAGAGCUAUGACUUUGAUUGAUAAUGUCAUAAACCAUAAUUCAGGUUGCGGCCUUUAUUUUUAGGAGGGAAGAGAAAGCCACUAAUAGCAACUAAAAUGUUAUUAUUUGCUACUAAGUUCGAGG